rnacentral:rRNA from 1 species
GAUGAACGCUGGCGGCGUGCCUAAUACAUGCAAGUCGAGCGAACAGACGAGGAGCUUGCUCCUCUGACGUUAGCGGCGGACGGGUGAGUAACACAUGGAUAACCUACCUAUAAGACUGGGAUAACUUCGGGAAACCGGAGCUAAUACCGGAUAAUAUAUUGAACCGCAUGGUUCAAUAGUGAAAGACGGUUUUGCUGUCACUUAUAGAUGGAUCCGCGCCGCAUUAGCUAGUUGGUAAGGUAACGGCUUACCAAGGCAACGAUGCGUAGCCGACCUGAGAGGUUGAUCGGCCACACUGGAACGGAGACACGGUCCAGACUCCUACGGGAGGCAGCGGUAGGGAAUCUGCCGCAAUGGGCGAAAGCCGGACGGAGCAACGCGGCGUGAGUGAUGAAGCUCUUCGGAUCGUAAAACUCUGUUAUGAGGGAAGAACAAAUGUGUAAGUAACUAUGCACGUCUGGACGGUACCUAAGCAGAAAGCCACGGCUAACUACGU